rnacentral:rRNA from 1 species
GGGUUGUGAGGUUAAGCGACUAAGCGUACACGGUGGAUGCCCUGGCAGUCAGAGGCGAUGAAGGACGUGCUAAUCUGCGAUAAGCGUCGGUAAGGUGAUAUGAACCGUUAUAACCGGCGAUUUCCGAAUGGGGAAACCCAGUGUGUUUCGACACACUAUCAUUAACUGAAUCCAUAGGUUAAUGAGGCGAACCGGGGGAACUGAAACAUCUAAGUACCCCGAGGAAAAGAAAUCAACCGAGAUUCCCCCAGUAGCGGCGAGCGAACGGGGAGCAGCCCAGAGCCUGAAUCAGUAUGUGUGUUAGUGGAAGCGUCUGGAAAGGCGCGCGAUACAGGGUGACAGCCCCGUACACAAAAAUGCACAUGCUGUGAGCUCGAUGAGUAGGGCGGGACACGUGGUAUCCUGUCUGAAUAUGGGGGGACCAUCCUCCAAGGCUAAAUACUCCUGACUGACCGAUAGUGAACCAGUACCGUGAGGGAAAGGCGAAAAGAACCCCGGCGAGGGGAGUGAAAAAGAACCUGAAACCGUGUACGUACAAGCAGUGGGAGCACGCUUAGGCGUGUGACUGCGUACCUUUUGUAUAAUGGGUCAGCGACUUAUAUUCUGUAGCAAGGUUAACCGAAUAGGGGAGCCGAAGGGAAACCGAGUCUUAACUGGGCGUUAAGUUGCAGGGUAUAGACCCGAAACCCGGUGAUCUAGCCAUGGGCAGGUUGAAGGUUGGGUAACACUAACUGGAGGACCGAACCGACUAAUGUUGAAAAAUUAGCGGAUGACUUGUGGCUGGGGGUGAAAGGCCAAUCAAACCGGGAGAUAGCUGGUUCUCCCCGAAAGCUAUUUAGGUAGCGCCUCGUGAAUUCAUCUCCGGGGGUAGAGCACUGUUUCGGCAAGGGGGUCAUCCCGACUUACCAACCCGAUGCAAACUGCGAAUACCGGAGAAUGUUAUCACGGGAGACACACGGCGGGUGCUAACGUCCGUCGUGAAGAGGGAAACAACCCAGACCGCCAGCUAAGGUCCCAAAGUCAUGGUUAAGUGGGAAACGAUGUGGGAAGGCCCAGACAGCCAGGAUGUUGGCUUAGAAGCAGCCAUCAUUUAAAGAAAGCGUAAUAGCUCACUGGUCGAGUCGGCCUGCGCGGAAGAUGUAACGGGGCUAAACCAUGCACCGAAGCUGCGGCAGCGACGCUGAUGCGUUGUUGGGUAGGGGAGCGUUCUGUAAGCCUGCGAAGGUGUGCUGUGAGGCAUGCUGGAGGUAUCAGAAGUGCG